AUUGAACGCUGGCGGCAGGUCUAACACAUGCAAGUCGAGCGGUAGAGAGGUGCUUGCACCUGGUGGCGAGUGGCGAACGGGUGAGUAAUACAUCGGAACGUACCUUAUCGUGGGGAUAACGCAGCGAAAGCUGUGCUAAUACCGCAUACGCCCUGAGGGGGAAAGCGGGGGAUCGAAAGACCUCGCGCGAUUAGAGCGGCCGAUGCCUGAUUGGCUUGUUGUGGGUAAAGCCCACCAAGGCGACGAUCAGUAGCUGGUCUGAGAGGACGAUCAGCCACACUGGGACUGAGACACGGCCCAGACUCCUACGGAGGCAGCAGUGGGGAAUUUUGGACAAUGGGCGCAAGCCUGAUCCAGCAAUGCCGCGUGCAGGAUGAAGG
rnacentral:rRNA from 1 species